rnacentral:rRNA from 1 species
UACGGAGGGUGCAAGCGUUAAUCGGAAUUACUGGGCGUAAAGGGUGCGUAGGUGGUUUGAUAAGUUAACUGUGAAAGCCCUGGGCUCAACCUGGGAAGGCCAGUUAAGACUGUUGAGCUGGAGUAUGGGAGAGGAUAGUGGAAUUUCCGGUGUAGCGGUGAAAUGCGUAGAGAUCGGAAGGAACACCAGUGGCGAAGGCGGCUAUCUGGCCUAAUACUGACACUGAAGCACGAAAGCGUGGGGAGCAAACAGG